CCCGCUUCCGGAACGGGCUCGCGGAGUGCGAGUCUAUGGCGUCGGCGACGGCCUGGGUAGUUCCGUGGAGAGCGUGGGGAGUGGCGUGGGCCCCUGCGCGGCGUGGGCGGGGCGUGCUCCCCGCCGCGCUCCUCACCCGAACUCCCUAGCUGGGUCAACUCUGCUGGACCGGUCCGGACGACAGGCUCUGAUAGGCUUCGUCUUGGGCGGUGACCUCUUGACUGCCCGUCCCUUUAGACAGGAAGUGAGCAAAUGCUGUUGGAAAAAUGGUGCCAGUGGACUUGCCCAACACAUGGGUGCCACAAAUCUUCAAUUUGUAGAAGUGCGGUAUCUGCGAAGCACAGUAAAGUGAAGUGCAAUAAAAUGAGAUGACAUGAUUGUGUGUAGAAGUUCCUAAGGAAUCUCCAGAACUUACGUUAGAGCUAAUGAGUGAAUUAAGAAGGCCACAGGAUGCAAGAUCCUGAAGGAAAGCACAUCUUUCUCACGGGUUCUUUUUGAGGAUUAACGGAUAAUGUGUACGGGGCCUGGCACAUCGCAGUUCGUACGCGGGCCUCUCACUGUUGUGGCCUCAGAGCACAGGCUCCGGACGCGCAGGCUCAGCGGCCAUGGCUCACAGGCCCAGCCACUCCGCGGCAUGUGGGAUCCUCCUGGACCGGGGCACAAACCCGUGUCCCCUGCAUCGGCAGGCGGACUCUCAACUACUGCGCCGCCAGGGAAGCCCAGACUAGCUACUUUUAAAUGAUUCCAAGCAGAGCACUUCUGAAAGUAAGACAAUGCAAGUGGAAAGGAGACAUUUCACUUUUACUUUAGGGUGGGUGACAUAAAACAAGGAUGAUUUAGUCGUAAGCAAUUGCUCUAUGAUACCUGGAAUUAUCCCUUGGUGAAACUUGGUGCCAUGGCUCUACCUUUAAUACAUAUCCAGUAUGCAGCCACUUCUCACCACUUCUAAAAUCAAACCCCUGGCUCUGAACCCGAAUCUUGGUCCACAGCACCUGGACUUCAGCGAUAGCCCCCAGACUGUCUUCCAGAUUUCUACCCUUGUGUUAUUCUCAACUUGCAAGCCAGAAUGAGCCUUAGAACAUGUAAUUCCAUUUAGAAAGUGUAAAUUCCCUUUCUCAAAACCCCACUGUUAUCUCACUCAGAGAACUGCAGGUCAUCUGGUUCCCUGUGACACCUCUUUCUUUAUGUCCUCCCACCCGCCUCCUCGCUUACUCCAAUCCAGCCCACUAGCUUCUCGCUGUCGUUAAAACAUGCCAACGUCACCUCACCACCUCUACCCUCACACAUAAAAGCCCCUUCAGCCUGCCUCGCUGUUUCCAUAGAAUUGAGAUCCUCCAACAUCCUACAUAAUUUACCUAUUUUACUAUUUCUUGUUCACUGUCUAUUAUCUACAUCACCUGAUUAGAAUGUCAGCUCUAAGCAAGGCACUCAGUAGAUGUUUAUUGAAGGAACAAGUGGGUGAAUGAAUGCUUUAAUGCCAAUAGCCAAACCACGCUUCUAUGAUUGAACAUGAACAUUCACUUUAAUCAAUAUUUGCACGAGGCAUUGGUCUAAAGGCGAAUGAUGAUCAUAGAAAAUGAACUGGCAUUAAGAAUCAGCAUUUUUGGCUUUAAAGGAGGUAAGAUACAAUGGUAGAAAUGGGCCCUGGCUCUGAAGCCCACUAGGUCUUCGUUAGAAUCCCGGUUGCACCAUUUCCCAGCCCAGUGACCUUGGACAAGGCACUUUGGCAUCUAAUCCUCAGUUCUCUCACAUAUAAAAUAGUGAAAGCUGUGAUGCCUGCUUCAUGACUGUUGUCAUGACGAUUAAAUGAGUUCGCACACGUAAAAUGUUCAAUAUAAAAUAACGGCUCAAUAAAUAACAACUAUUUGUGGAAGUAAACACAAUUUUUAAAAAUCAUGUAGAGAGCCUGAGAACUAUCUGAAAGACAAGACAUCUCCCUCUUAGUUAUUAUAAACAACUAGUUUUGAAAAAUGAUGUCUGAUGAACAUUAAUUUUUAAAACAUGGGAAUGAAUUGGCCUUUGGUCUUUUAGAAGGGGUGGAGGCUGCGUAACUAUCUGCUAUUUAAUACUAAGACUGACGCUUUGGUCAGUGGUCCUCAAAGUUUUUGGUCUUAAGACUCCUUCUCACUCUCAAAAAUUAUUGAGGACUCCAAAGAGCCUAUACUUUUGUAGGUUAUGUCUAUCAGUAUUUUUGGUAUUUAAAAGAAAAACAUAACUUUAUAAACUUAAUUCAUUAAAAAUAUCAAUAAUAA